CUUACCUUGUAUGAUCUCAUUUAAUCUUCACAACAAAUUUAAGAUUGUAAGUACUAUUGAGACUCUAAUCCUACCACUAUUACACAUCCUGCCAUGAGAAAUGGCCCUCAAGAAUCAUUAGGGACAACAAAAACAUAAGGGGUAAAAUGAAAACUAUAAAACAUUUCCUGGCGCCGCUGUAAGGAAUGCUACAUCACCUUUGGGCUGCAACGCUUUCUCAGCGAGUCUGGUGGGUGGGAUCCCGGUUGGUCCAGAAGAGGCCCCUUCUCUGGGCAUCUUAGGAGUCUGCGGAAGCCCCGCCCAGCGCACUGCCGGGCUUCCUUCCCCAUCCCCCACAAGCCCUUGCGGCCGCCGUGGCACCACCGGACAAAAUGGCGGGAGCGGGUGGCAGCGACGGCCAAGCCCUGGCUCCCAGGAUAUUGAUCACAGAAAUGAGUGAUGAGUUAAGAAGCAAGCAAGAAAUUGUGAAUGGAUUGAAUAUAUUUUUGGAAGAAAAUGAGACUUAAUAUGAGAAUUAAGAAGUUUGGUAUAAUUACAAAUGAAGAAUUCAGAAAACCACCAGAAAAUUCUUGGCCAAGAAGUCAAUAUCGACAUGGAAACGAAAAGAAAGAGAUUGGAAUGCUUUGGACUUCUUUGAUAUCCUACGUUAACAUUUCCUCUCUAAGUUUUAUAUAUUAAAGUAAAUAUAAUAACCAAAUUAAAAUAUUUCAGU